CGGAGAACCUCGCACGUCGAUUGUCACAAGUAUGCAAGCCAAGAAAGAGAGUAAAUAAGAAGAACACGUCGAUUCUAACCUCAACUUGUUGUUGGUUUGUUUGAAUAAUUUUUUCCAAUUUAUGUACUUCCAAUAUAAGAAAAUCGCCCGGAAAGUAUACGAAAGCCAUGUGAUAAAAUUAUAUCAAAUCCAAUGGAAUUUUACAAUAUUGAAUUUCAUCAGCUGCAAUAACUUAAACAACAAAGAUUUUAUGCUACUUUAUAGGAAUAUAACCAGUUUUUAUGAAGUUGCCCAUUUCAAAUUACAGCUCUUUCAUGUUCUAGAAGCGAGAUUAUGAAUGUUGUUGGUUGUUGGUGAACAACAAGGUCAAGUUAUGUUGGCUUAAUAUUUGAUCUAAGUGCAUUAAGAGGUAUCAUGAGAAAGAGUGAAAUUCCAGGAUUAUUAAUUGGCAAUAGUAGAUACGCAUGCAAAUACUAUCUAUUUACUUCAGUAUUACAGCCAGGUGCCAUCUGUGAGAGUCCACAACUCAAGUCCAUACAACAGUACACUAAAGAUAUAACAUCAUAGUAACCUGAUUUUUAUGGGUAUCGACAAAUCAUGACAUUUGAAUAACUUAGCCAUUGCUUGAAAUGUAGAUCUUGCUUUCUCUAUCCUACAUUUGAUUUCUAUGGAAUGAUCCCAAUCUUCAUUGACGUUCGUACCAAGGUAGGUGUAUGUAUUUACUCUUUCUAUUUGUUGACUGUUCACACUGAUUCGUCUAAAUUGCUGUUCCUUCUUAGAGAUCAUCAUACAUUCUGUUUUCUUAGUGUUUAGUGAAAGUUUGCAUCACUGAUUGACUUCUGCGAUUCUGUUCAAUAAAUAUGCACCAGAAAUAAACAAACCAAGACACUUAAAUGUUACGAGGAGUACUCCCUAAUCAUGAUUUACACAAAAAAUAUAUAAACCUUGUAAAUCAGGAUUUGGGAUUUACAAUGUACUUAUAUAAAUUGUAAAUUAUUAUUUAGGAGUGCACCUCGUAACAUUCAAUGUUUCUUGGUUUAUUUAUUUCUAAUGCAUCUUUAUUGUGAUUGUAGUAAGUAUAAUAUAUAGGUAUAUAUGUAUAUC
rnacentral:misc_RNA from 1 species